GGGUAGUAAUAUUCGACGGUCGGAGUGGCGUAAGGGUGCGUAACACGUGGGUAAUCUGCCGUGAAGUUGGGGAUAACUCGCUGAAAGGCGAGCUAAUACCGAAUGUGGAUCUUGGGUGGCAUCAUUUGAGAUCUAAAGUUGGGGACCGUAAGGCCUGACGCUUCACGAUGAGCCCGCGGCCUAUCAGCUAGUUGGUGAGGUAACAGCUCACCAAGGCUAAGACGGGUAGCUGGUCUGAGAGGACGACCAGCCACACUGGAACUGAGACACGGUCCAGACACCUACGGGUGGCAGCAGUCGAGAAUUUUUCACAAUGGGCGAAAGCCUGAUGGAGCGACGCCGCGUGGGGGAUGAAUGGCUUCGGCCCGUAAACCCCUGUCAUUUGCGAACAAACCUUGCCCGCUAAUACCGGGCGAGCUGAUUGUAGCGAAAGAGGAAGGGACGGCUAACUCUGUGCCAGCAGCCGCGGUAAUACAGAGGUCCCAAGCGUUGUUCAGAUUCACUGGGCGUAAAGGGUGCGUAGGUGGUCGGGUAAGUCUGAUGUGAAAUCUCCGAGCUCAACUCGGAAAUGGCAUUGGAUACUACUCGGCUGGAGGGUUGGAGGGGGGGACUGGAAUUCUCGGUGUAGCAGUGAAAUGCGUAGAUAUCGAGAGGAACACCAGUGGCGAAGGCGAGUCCCUGGACAACUCCUGACACUGAGGCACGAAAGCUAGGGGAGCAAACAGGAUUAGAUACCCUGGUAGUCCUAGCCGUAAACGGUGCACGUUUGCUGUAAGAGGAAUCGA
rnacentral:rRNA from 1 species